GACGAACGCUGGCGGCGUGCUUAACACAUGCAAGUCGAACGGAAAGGCGCCUUUUGGGGUCCGCUAGUGGCGGACGGGCGGGUAAGACGUGCGUAGCCUCCCCUUGUCUUCGGGAUAACAUCAGGGCACAGGGGCGAAUACUGGCUAGGAAGCCCUGCUGCUUGGAGGGGGGUGGAAAGCUGCGGCGGUUUUGGAUGGGCUCGCGGCUUAACGGCGUGUUGGGGGGGGAUUGGGUUACCACGGCGUGGACGGGUAGACGGACUGUGAGAGUGACCGGCCACAUUGGGACCGAGAGGCGGCCGAGACGCCUACGGGAGGAAACAGUGGGGAAGAUUGCACAAUGGGCGGAAGGCGGAUGCAGCAGGGCCGCGUGCGGGAUGACGGCCUUCGGGUUGAAAACCGCCUUCAGCAGGGGCGAGGCUUGUGGUGACGGUACCUGCAGAAGAAGCACCGGCUAACUACGUG
rnacentral:rRNA from 1 species